CCUCGAUGUCGGCUCAUCACAUCCUGGGGCUGAAGUAGGUCCCAAGGGUAUGGCUGUUCGCCAUUUAAAGUGGUACGCGAGCUGGGUUUAGAACGUCGUGAGACAGUUCGGUCCCUAUCUGCCGUGGGCGCUGGAGAAUUGAGGGGGGCUGCUCCUAGUACGAGAGGACCGGAGUGGACGCAUCACUGGUGUUCGGGUUGUCAUGCCAAUGGCACUGCCCGGUAGCUAAAUGCGGAAGAGAUAAGUGCUGAAAGCAUCUAAGCACGAAACUUGCCCCGAGAUGAGUUCUCCCUGACUCCUUGAGAGUCCUGAAGGAACGUUGAAGACGACGACGUUGAUAGGCCGGGUGUGUAAGCGCAGCGAUGCGUUGAGCUAACCGGUACUAAUGAACCGUGAGGCUUAACCUU
rnacentral:rRNA from 1 species